rnacentral:rRNA from 1 species
GACGAACGCUGGCGGCGUGCUUAACACAUGCAAGUCGAACGGUGACGAGGAGCUUGCUCCUCUGAUCAGUGGCGAACGGGUGAGUAACACGUGAGUAACCUGCCCCAGACUCUGGAAUAACAGUUGGAAACAGCUGCUAAUACCGGAUACGAGACGGAGAGGCAUCUCUACCGUCUGGAAAGUUUUUCGGUCUGGGAUGGACUCGCGGCCUAUCAGCUUGUUGGUGAGGUAAUGGCUCACCAAGGCGACGACGGGUAGCCGGCCUGAGAGGGCGACCGGCCACACUGGGACUGAGACACGGCCCAGACUCCUACGGGAGGCAGCAGUGGGGAAUAUUGCACAAUGGGCGAAAGCCUGAUGCAGCAACGCCGCGUGAGGGAUGACGGCCUCGGUUGUAACGUCUUCUAGUAGGAAGAAGGACGAAGUAGACGGUACCUACACGAAGAAGACACCGGCAACUAACGUGCCAGCAGCCGCGGUAAACUACACGUGUACG